CCCCUCUCAGGACUGCACCCGGAGAGUUUCCUGUACUCUACCAGUCUUGGCUACGGGAGGGAGAGUCAAGCAGAGGUCUACCCAUCCCAUUCCUAGCCUGGGCAGUGGCUAGUGAGCAGAAGGCAAUCUGCUACAAGU
rnacentral:snoRNA from 1 species